CGUCAGUUCGUACUGUGAAGCAUCCUGUUAAGUCAGGCAACGAGCGAGACCCACGCCAACAGUUUGCCAGCUCGUCCUCCGGGAUGGUGGGGACACUGUUGGGACCGCUCUGCUAAAGGAGAGGAAGGAAUGGGCAACGGUAGGUCAGCAUCGCCCCGAAUUAUCUGGGCUACACGCGGGCUACAAUGGGUGGGACAAUGGGUAUCGACACCGAAGGUGAAGGCAAUCUCCUAAACCCAUCCGUAGUUCGGAUUGUGGGCUGCAACUCGCCCACAUGAAGCUGGAAUCUGUAGUAAUCGUGUCUCAAAAUGGCACGGUGAAUAUGUCCCUGCUCCUU
rnacentral:rRNA from 1 species